rnacentral:rRNA from 1 species
AACUCCUACGGGGGGCAGCAGUGGGGGAUAUUGCACAAUGGGGGAAACCCUGAUGCAGCGACGCCGCGUGUGGGAAGACGGUCCUCUGGAUUGUAAACCACUGUCCCCAGGGACGAAGAUGACGGUACCUGGGGAGGAAGCUCCGGCUAACUAUGUGCCAGCAGCCGCGGUAAUACAUAGGGAGCGAGCGUUAUCCGGAUUUAUUGGGUGUAAAGGGUGCGUAGACGGGAAUACAAGUUGGUUGUGAAAUCCCUCGGCUCAACCGAGGAACUGCAACCAAAACUAUAUUUCUUGAGUGCUGGAGG